rnacentral:rRNA from 1 species
GAGACUGGAAACGGCUGCUAAUACCGCAUAACCUGUACCGGACGGAUGUCUGGUGUAGCAAAGAUGGCCUCUGAAUGAAAGCUGUCACUUUAUGGAUGGGGCCCGCGUCUGAUUAGCUAGUUGGUAGGGUAAAGGCCUACCAAGGCGACGAUCAGUAGCCGGCCUGAGAGGGUGGACGGCCACACUGGGACUGAGACACGGCCCAGACUCCUACGGGAGGCAGCAGUGGGGAAUAUUGCGCAAUGGGGGAAACCCUGACGCAGCGACGCCCGCGUGAGCGAAGAAGGCCUUAGGGUCGUAAAGCUCUGGUUAUAAGGGACGAAGGUUACCAUGGUUAAUACCCGUGGUAAGUGACGGUACCUUAUGAGUAAGCCCCGGCUAACUACGUGCCAGCCGCGGC